GAGUGUUAUACAGCUCAUUCAGAAUUUGUCUAGCAGGCAAACUUCCAGAAUUUACUGGAAAGCUCAA
rnacentral:snRNA from 1 species